GGUCUGCCUGGUCUCUGAGGGAGCUUAGGCUUUUGUGGUACUCUUUUUGCUCCCUGUGCUGAUGGUGGCCAGAGAUGUGACCUUUACUGCUGGAUGUACCAGGUGCUGCGUGCCUGUUCUUAUGCUGUGGUGCCCUGUAUGAUGGAGGAACUGCCUUGUGUAAUGCCCUGGAAGCCUUCCUUCCAUAUGGGGCCAAGCAAGCUGGCUUUCACACAAUGCUGCAUGAGGUUGUCAUCUGGCUGAAAUUAGGGCGCUGGGAAAUUAAAUGGUA